CCGUCCUCAGUCCUUACCGUGCGGAGUUUUGGAUACAUUCUAAGCAGCUUUUUCGCUCCGGAGAAGUUCUUUGUCUUUCUGAGCCGCAGUUUGCCCAACUGCAAAAUGGAAAGAGAUGACGCAGGAAUUAAGAUACUCUAGGAGCUCGCCCACAGCUGAGUCAGGGCCCCAUUCUGAGGUUACACCCUUAAGCCUUUGCACCACUCAAAGGAAGGAAACCAAGAGAGAGGGGUGGCUAGCUGCUGUUUGGAGACAGUGGUCCUUGUAUUGGCGCCCCGCGGAAUCACUCCAGAUGAGUCAGUGGAUACAGUCUAUAGGUCCCGCCUCAUUGUACGCAAACAGCAGUGGGCAUAUGGCCGUGGGGGGUUGAUACAGCCUGUCGGAGUGGGACUGUGUGUAUGGGAGGCUAAAUCUCAGCAGGACUUUUCCAGUUGCUACCAGACUACGCACUGUCGCCUGAUGGUUAAGAACUGAAGCUUUAGCCGUGCGCGGUGGCUCACGCCUGUAAUCCCAGCACUUUAGGAGGCAGAGGCGGGCGGAUCACCUGAGGUCACAGGAGUUCGAGACCAGCUUGACCAACAAGCUGGCGUAUCCGAAUGGGCUGAGCUACCGGAUUAAGAGGGACACCCCAAAGCCCCCAUUGCUGGGUUAUUGCUCCAGAGCCAAUGUCCUUAGGGAAACGGAGAUACGCCCUUUGUCUACACUGCCACUGCUGGUCUGUAAACUCCUAGACGGCCAGCUGGUGGUUCACAAACCAGGACUCCUUGCUCUGGCCCUACUCCUACCUACCAGAAUGACCGUGAACACUUCCCCACUCACUCCUACAACCAGGUUUCCAUCUUCUCUCUCAGCUUAGGUUUCCCUAAUUGUAAAAUAAAAGGGUUGGACUAGGUUAAGGACUUCCAGCUGUUUCUCUCUCCCACACUCUAAGGUUCCUUAGGAAUGCUUCAGAAAACAGCAGGGGUUGGGGCAAGGAUGCCACCUGAGUCCCAGAGCAACUCCAAUUUCAUAGGUACAUAAAUUUAUGUGAAAGUA